CGCUGGCGGCCCCCACCCACGAGGCUGCCCCGCGCCAGCUUCUGCAGCUCGACAGGCACCACGGCGCUGGGGCAGUGCUUCUCGAUGUAGUCCUGGAAUCCCUGCACUCCCAUGGAAGGAAACUAGUCCAGAGCAUGUGCCACCAGGAGUCUGGCUGUCAGCACCCUUGGAGUCAGGGAGGCACAGCAGAGCUGAGCACUGCCAGUUUGUGCCUAGCCACAAACACAACCCUCCCUCUCCAAAGAGAAGAAAAGAGAGAGGAAAAGCAUAAGGUACUUCCAGAAUUUAUUUAAGACAAACUAAAAGUUUGGCCAGAAGAGAAGACCAUGGAAAAUAAGUUAAAUUUAUGGAAAACAAAAUUACUCUGGAAGGCAGGUAGAUUAAGCAAGACCUAAAGAGCAAUUAAUCAAAGACACAAGGGAAACAAGGUGUUUUUUCAUGAACCAGCAGCAGAAAGCCUGCAGGAUUCAUCAAUCUUCUUCCUCAGCACCGAGACACAAUGUGUUCCACACUUCCCAGAUGUUGCUUGUGUAAAGGAAGGGUUAAUAGCAGUUGGUAUUAAAGUCAGUGACUCAUUAUCCAACCUGAACAGAAGAGGAGUGGCUCCCUCAAAGGAAGGAACUGAGCAGUCAUUAGGAAGAACUAAGGAAUAACCAUGUCAGAGCAAGAACAGAGAUGAAUGUUAUCAGUUUGGUCUUGGUUCCUCUGUUAACAAAAGUCAGUCCCACAGCAAGAAGGACACGGACACAGGCUGUGGAACAGACUAGCCACUGUGACCUGAAAGCUACAUCUGCCUGGGAGGAGUAGAGACAUACUUUAUCCAUGGGAAACACUUGUUUGAUGUGAUUUCUCUUAAUAUUUCUCCUUUUUCCUCAAUCUGGUGCAUCUUGCUGUAGAUCUGCUGCCCCAGAACUUCCCUGUUCUUGCUGCUGUAGAAGAUCUCCCAGCCUUCAACUCACUGUCAGGACUGCAAGUGGCAGAAAACACCUGCCUCAGCUGCCAGCCUGCUCCUACAAACCCCACAGCUUGCACAGAGUAGACGAGCUGAGCUGAUGCCAGGAACGUGAAGGUCUUGUAAGAGGUGGCAUUUAAAGUUGUGUAUUCCCAGCUUCUGUAAUUACAGGUUCCCACAUCAGGAUGAUGCAUGGAAAAAGCACACAGAUAAGGCAUCGUUUGCCCAAACAUGUCAUCAGAAACUGACUCCCUAAAGCUCUUUUUCAGUAGGGGACUUUCAAGGCCUGGUCAGCCUGUCACUGGUACUACUGAAGACAGCAAGAAUCUCCCUGCAGAUUUCAGGGAGAGCAAGAGCAGACCCUGGGAGUGAAGAAACAUCAUUUGCAUUCACUUUGGCAGAUGGCUGUGUUCUAGGAGAACCUACAAACAGUUCUUGAGGCUCCAGGGUAGACUGAGAAGGGAGUGAAAUGAGUGGAAGAAAACAAGGUCUUCCUGUUUUCAUAGUGGACAGUAAGGAACAAUGGAAGAGAUGCCCGUCCAUGUCCCAUUUACAAUCACAAUCAUCAUCAUCCAUGAAUUCCAUGACUUUUUCAUUUCCAUUUUUCCUGCUUAACAUCACAGAGUGCUGGGGUGGCAGUGGCAGCAGCUGUUUACUGUAGCUGGAAUACCAGCAAGGCAUUUCCCUGGUGCACCAGCCAGAGCCAAAUCUGUAUUUUACAGGAACCUUCAAAGCAAACAUUUUAGGCCAACUGCGAAACUUGGAUUUGAAAUUCCAAAGCUUCUGAGCUCUGGUGUGCCACGGCACUCAGGGUUUGACUUUUACCCCUUUUCCACAUUGUCAGAGUCACUCCAAUGCUUUUCUUUGUAAGAGGACACAAGGUAUCCCAGCCAGAUCCCAUUGAAAAGUGCAAUCAUUCCUUUGAACUUUUCUCUUAAAAGACAGUGAUUUAAAGUCUGAAAUGGGCAAUUUCCUCCAUCUGGAAAAAAUGGAGAAAGAAGAGCUUUGCACUGAGUCCAGCAUGGUCCUGGUCAGACUCUUCAGCUGGGAUUCCAAUACAGCCUUGUUUUCAUUCAAGUGUUACAAUAACCAGGAGAAUCCUGCCAUUAUUUCUAGGAAUGAAGUAAUUUUUAAAUGGUGAAGUUGUGCAUAAUUUCAAUUAUUCUCAGAGAGAAUACUCAAGACAGGCCUCUUUGAUGUUUUGUUCACAGAAAUAGACACGUGAUGCAAGUUCAUAUAUACAAUGAAUGGACUUGGGACAAAUGCUUGAAGACUUCUUACAACAAAUUGCUCACAAAUGCAAGAGUUACUUCCAGAAUGGUUACUGCACAUGUGUUUGGAAAAAAUAUAUUGGAACAAAUCAAUCUGCUUGUGGACAAAUAAUGAAAAGAGAAAAAGGAAAAAUUCCUCUAACAAAUAUGAAACUGCAAAUUAUUCACUCAGCUCAGUUGGCAACAACCAAUUUUUGUGGUAGUAGGAGCUCAUGGAGUAGGAGGUAACUGUGUGAAGAAUGAUUGAUUUGGGAUCUUAUAUUGCAGUUCUGGAAGGGCUUCAAUUUCUAAUUUAAAAGCCAUCUUCCUCCUUUUACCCAGUAAAUAAAACACAAUGAUAGUUGAUUUCUGUGAGCUGUUUUGGGCAGAUAGAAUCUAUUUUCUGUCCUCUGGACACUGAAAACAGCUAGCUCAUAAGAAAGAACAGUUAUUUAUUAGAAAAGAUCUCUCUUGCUGUCUUGGGUUUCAAUGCAAGAUGUAACCACAAGUCUGUGUUCUAUUGCCAGCUGUUAAAACCAGGUGGGGCAGUGUUCUUUAUCUCUCCCACCACCCAUCCUCCCUCCAGGGGGAUCUUUUCUGUUAUUGGGCCAUUGAGUCUCA